rnacentral:rRNA from 1 species
ACGGGUGAGUAACACGUGAGUAACCUGCCCUUGACUUUGGGAUAACUUCAGGAAACUGGGGCUAAUACCGGAUAGGAGCUCCUGCUGCAUGGUGGGGGUUGGAAAGUUUCGGCGGUUGGGGAUGGACUCGCGGCUUAUCAGCUUGUUGGUGGGGUAGUGGCUUACCAAGGCUUUGACGGGUAGCCGGCCUGAGAGGGUGACCGGCCACAUUGGGACUGAGAUACGGCCCAGACUCCUACGGGAGGCAGCAGUGGGGAAUAUUGCACAAUGGGCGGAAGCCUGAUGCAGCAACGCCGCGUGCGGGAUGACGGCCUUCGGGUUGUAAACCGCUUUCGCCUGUGACGAAGCGUGAGUGACGGUAAUGGGUAAAGAAGCACCGGCUAACUACGUGCCAGCAGCCGCGGUGAUACGUAGGGUGCGAGCGUUGUCCGGAUUUAUUGGGCGUAAAGGGCUCGUAGGCGGUUGAUCGCGUCGGAAGUGUAAUCUUGGGGCUUAACCCUGAGCGUGCUUUCGAUACGGGUUGACUUGAGGAAGGUAGGGGAGAAUGGAAUUCCUGGUGGAGCGGUGGAAUGCGCAGA